CUUUAAAUAAAAAAUCCAUAAAUUUAUUGCAAAUCUAGAAGUACCAGAAUGUCACUAAUACAGAACAGAUCAGCAAUCUUGUUUGUAUUUUCUUCCAAACAUUUAAAACCUUGAUUAUUGACAUACUGAAAUUGGCAUACAUUUUGUUUUCAUGCAGAUAACAGAAUAGACAUGGAGCAGAUCCCUCAGAAAUCAGUUAUAAAUAUUAAAUUGUAUUGAACAUUCAUAGUAAAAAAUAUGUCGUAAAGUGCUGAAGUCAUGUAAGUCUGCAAAACUGCCACAAGCUCAAAGUUCUCAAGCAGUGACAGAGAUUUGCUACAUCCACCUUGUUUUAGAUUAUGCCUGUUUUUGACAGACACUUUGUCAUU
rnacentral:lncRNA from 1 species